UACGUAGGGUGCAAGCGUUAUCCGGAAUUAUUGGGCGUAAAGAGCUCGUAGGCGGUUUGUCACGUCUGCUGUGAAAACUGGAGGCUCAACCUCCAGCCUGCAGUGGGUACGGGCAGACUAGAGUAUGGCAGGGGAGACUGGAAUUCCUGGUGUAGCGGUGAAAUGCGCAGAUAUCAGGAGGAACACCGGUGGCGAAGGCGGGUCUCUGGGCCAUAACUGACGCUGAGGAGCGAAAGCGUGGGGAGCGAACAGG
rnacentral:rRNA from 1 species